AUUGAACGCUGGCGGCAUGCCUUACACAUGCAAGUCGAACGGCAGCACGGACUUCGGUCUGGUGGCGAGUGGCGAACGGGUGAGUAAUACAUCGGAACGUGCCCAGUCGUGGGGGAUAGCGUAGCGAAAGCUAUGCUAAUACCGCAUACGAUCUAAGAAUGAAAGCGGGGGAUCGCAAGACCUCGCGCGAUUGGAGCGGCCGAUGGCAGAUUAGGUAGUUGGUGGGGUAAAGGCUCACCAAGCCGACGAUCUGUAGCUGGUCUGAGAGGACGGCCAGCCACACUGGGACUGAGACACGGCCCAGACUCCUACGGGAGGCAGCAGUGGGGAAUUUUGGACAAUGGGCGCAAGCCUGAUCCAGCCAUUCCGCGUGCAGGAUGAAGGCCCUCGGGUUGUAAACUGCUUUUGUACGGAACGAAAAGGCUCUGGUUAAUACCUGGGGCUCAUGACGGUACCGUAAGAAUAAGCACCGGCUAACUACGUGCCAGCCGCCGCAGUAA
rnacentral:rRNA from 1 species